UACAGAGGCCUCGAGCGUUAGGCGGAAUCACUGGGCUUAAAGCGUGUGUAGGCGGACUUCUAAGUACCUUGUGAAAUCCCACAGCUUAACUGUGGAACUGCUUGGUAUACUGGUUGUCUUGAGGUACCUAGGGGCGAGCGGAACAAGUGGUGGAGCGGUGAAAUGCGUAGAUAUCACUUGGAACGCCAACGGUGAAAACAGCUCGCUGGGGGUAUCCUGACGCUGAGACGACGAAAGCCAGGGGAGCAAACGGG
rnacentral:rRNA from 1 species